rnacentral:rRNA from 1 species
AAUUUUGCGCAAUGGGGGAAACCCUGACGCAGCAACGCCGCGUGGACGAUGAAGCUUCUUGGAGUGUAAAGUCCUUUCGGCAGGGAAGAAUCCCCGCAAGGGGUUGACGGUACCUGAAGAAGAAGCCCCGGCUAACUCCGUGCCAGCAGCCGCGGUAAUACGUAGGGGGCGAGCGUUGUCCGGAUUUAUUGGGCGUAAAGAGCUCGUAGGCGGUUCGGCAAGGCGGAUGUGAAAUCUCCACGCUCAACGUGGAGGGGCCAUCCGAUACUGCCGUGACUCGAGUCCGGUAGGGGAGUGUGGAAUUCCCGGUGUAGCGGUGAAAUGCGCAGAGAUCGGGAGGAACACCCGUAGCGAAGGCGGCACUCUGGGCCGGUACUGACGCUGAGGAGCGAAAGCGUGGGGAGCGAAC